AGCACCAUCGCGCAGAGGAAGCGCGCGGGGCUCAUAACCCCGAUGCCCGAGGACCGGAACCUCGUGGUGAUA